AUGUGGCAUAAUCAAGAUUCACGUGAAAAGUUGCAAAUUGGUUAUAUAAUUGAUGAAAUUAAUGGCUGGCUAUUUGAAACUCACGAGAAUCUUGAUGAUGCUGCAU